UUGGCCCUGAGCUUGGUAAAAGAGCCAUCAUCACUGGCUACAGCAUCCCCAGGCCAGCCUCUAAGCCGGGCACUCCUGGGACUUGGGAUUCACUUCCAAAUCCCCCGGAAUGUCAGGGAGCCAGUGAAUGAACGAUGACGACUUCAACCCGACUCCUCGUCUCGGCUGGGCUGCCCUGCUCCUGCCACAUGGAGAUGCUGCUGGGGAAGCGUUCCCUGCAGAAGAAGGCCUCCUUGUUCUCACUUGGGACGGUGCCCUCGCUCCGCUUUUAGCCCAGACGGCAGAGGCACCCCACCCUCAGCUUCAGAGGGACUCUCAAGAGGCUUCUCCAACACCACAGUUGGAAAGUGGCUCUGGCCAAGCUCAAAUGUGGAGAGGGCCUGGGCUAAUCGAGAUGCCCCCUCAGGUUACACGGAGACAGCUGCAUCCCAGGCAGACAGAGCACAGAUGAAGGUGGAGGUUCAAAGUCUCACCAAUAUUUUUCAAACCCAUUGCACACUUUUCUACUUAUCCAUUCAUCACAUACAAAAUUCUUGCUCCCCGCCAAAUAAAUUAAUUGAAAAGUUUUGUUUGGCUGCUUGAGGAAAAGAACUGAGAUCCGCCCUUUGUUUUCUGUUUCAUAUUUUCUGGAUAAUGAAUGAGUCAAACGAUGAAUAAAA